UUUUCGCCCAGGCACGCCGCGUCUUCCUUCACCAAUCCCCUUCUCACUUGCGCUGGGUCGGCGAGGGAGCCAGGAGAAACGGCCAACGGAUCUCCGGGGCCCACCCACCCGGACACGUCCACCGCGGAGAUGCGCGGCGAGAAGACGACUCGAUCCCCAGGCCGUCCGCCGCCUAGGCCCGAUCCUCCCGGGAGGAACGGAGGUCAACGCCGGCCCGAAGCUGCAGGGACGCAGGGCGCCCCGCCCCGCCAGAGGAGCACGGCGGGGAUGGACAGGAAGAAAGAAGAGCAAGCAUUGACAAAAGGGUUCUUUCUCAGCCGCCGCCCAGUCGCGCGGAGGUGGAGACCCGGGAGCGGUCAAGAUUCGGCUCCACCUGUAAUCCCCACCGCCUUGGCCCAGGAAGGCAUUGCCGCUGGAGGUGUUACGGAUGUUAACACUGCUUUACAAGAGGUGCUGAAGACUGCUCUCAUCCACGAUGGCGUUGCACGUGGAAUUCGCGAGGCUGCCAAAGCCUUAGACAAGCGCCAAGCCCAUCUUUGUGUGCCUGCAUCCAUCUGUAAGGAGCCCAUGUAUGUCAAGCUGGUGGAGGCCCUUUGUGCUGAGCACCAAAUCAACCUCAUUAAGGUAGAUGACAACAAGAAACUAGGAGACAGGGUAGGCCUCUGCAAAACUGAUCGAGAGGGAAAACCCCGUAAAGUGGUUGGUUGCAGUUGUGUGGUGUUUAAGGACUGUGGCAAAGAGUCUCAGGCCAAGGAUGUCAUACAAGCGUUCUUCAAAUGCAAGAAAUGAACAGAUAAAAUUUUUGACUCA